AUUGAACGCUGGCGGCAGGCCUAACACAUGCAAGUCGAGCGGAUGAAGGGAGCUUGCUCCUGGAUUCAGCGGCGGACGGGUGAGUAAUGCCUAGGAAUCUGCCUGGUAGUGGGGGAUAACGUCCGGAAACGGGCGCUAAUACCGCAUACGUCCUGAGGGAGAAAGUGGGGGAUCUUCGGACCUCACGCUAUCAGAUGAGCCUAGGUCGGAUUAGCUAGUUGGUGGGGUAAAGGCCUACCAAGGCGACGAUCCGUAACUGGUCUGAGAGGAUGAUCAGUCACACUGGAACUGAGACAGGGUCCAGACUCCUACGGGAGGCAGCAGUGGGGAAUAUUGGACAAUGGGCGAAAGCAUGAUCCAGCCAUGCCGCGUGUGUGAAGAAGGUCUUCGGAUUGUAAAGCACUUUAAGUUGGGAGGAAGGGCAGUAAGUUAAUACCUUGCUGUUUUGACGUUACCAACAGAAUAAGCACCGGCUAACUUCGUG
rnacentral:rRNA from 1 species